rnacentral:rRNA from 1 species
GAUGAACGCUAGCGAUAGGCUUAACACAUGCAAGUCGAGGGGCAGCACAAGGUAGCUUGCUAUCUGGGUGGCGACCGGCGCACGGGUGCGUAACGCGUAUGCAACUUGCCCUAUACAGGAGGAUAACCCGUCGAAAGACGGACUAAUACUGCGUAUGCUCACAACUUGGCAUCAAGUGGUGAGGAAAGAAAUUCGGUAUAGGAUAGGCAUGCGUCCCAUUAGCUUGUUGGUGAGGUGACGGCUCACCAAGGCAACGAUGGGUAGGGGAACUUAGAGGUUUAUCCCCCCCAAUGGUACUGAGACACGGACCAGACUCCUACGGGAGGCAGCAGUGAGGAAUAUUGGUCAAUGGGCGCGAGCCUGAACCAGCCAAGUCGCGUGAAGGAUGCCUGUCUUAUGGAUUGUAAACUUCUUUUAUACGGGAAUAACAAGAGUCACGUGUGACUCCCUGCAUGUACCGUAUGAAUAAGCAUCGGCUAACUCCGUG